UUGCUGUGUUCUGUUUUUAUAAG
rnacentral:piRNA from 1 species